rnacentral:rRNA from 1 species
GACGAACGCUGGCGGCGUGCUUAACACAUGCAAGUCGAACGGAAAGGCCCUGCUUUUGUGGGGUGCUCGAGUGUCGAACGGGUGAGUAACACGUGAGUAACCUGCCCUUGACUUUGGGAUAACUUCAGGAAACUGGGGCUAAUACCGGAUAGGAGCUCCUGCUGCAUGGUGGGGGUUGGAAAGUUUCGGCGGUUGGGGAUGGACUCGCGGCUUAUCAGCUUGUUGGUUGGGUAGUGGCUUACCAAGGCUUUGACGGGUAGCCGGCCUGAGAGGGUGACCGGCCACAUUGGGACUGAGAUACGGCCCAGACUCCUACGGGAGGCAGCAGUGGGGAAUAUUGCACAAUGGGCGGAAGCCUGAUGCAGCAACGCCGCGUGCGGGAUGACGGCCUUCGGGUUGUAAACCGCUUUCGCCUGUGACGAAGCGUGAGUGACGGUAAUGGGUAAAGAAGCACCGGCUAACUACGUG